CAACGAUAGGGUGGCGCGUCCCCAGUGGAGUUGCCAGUUGGUCGGACCUGAUUUCUCAUCGUUCCAGGUGGCCCCAAAUAUGGGUGACCCGGUCGUUGGAAUCCUCUCUCAAACAAUCGCGAAGCACACAUGGGCCUUGCGGUUGUUUGAGAGAGGAUUCCCCCGACCGGUUCACCGAUAUCCGGGACGACCCAGGAUGACAAGAAAUCAGAUCCGACCACUCACACUAUGAAGCAUUUUGUAUUUG
rnacentral:pre_miRNA from 1 species